AAUAAAAAUUAUUGUUCGCGAAUAUUCAAUUUGGAAUGCGAUUUUGUUAAUAAAAAAAAUACUUAUAACUUAUGCAAAACCCAAGAGAGGCAUUUAUAUUUAUUUCUUUUGCGUUCAUUUUCAAAUUCGCCGUGCAUAUAUUUUUGUGCAUGGCGCUUAAGAGGGCAUCACGUGACUAAAAACGACCAACCAACGACCUCGCUUCGGCCAUCUUGGCAUCUUCAUCUUGGCGACCUUGCCUUGCCGUGGAUUGUUUUUAGUUGUAUGUAUUAUUUGUGCUUUUUAAGAAUAUUUUUUUAAUUCGGAUACUUUUAUAAUAGCUUUAAUAGUAUUAUUAACAUAGUGGAUAAAAUGGUGUCCUGUUUUUAACGCAGUUGGAGUAGCAGAAACAAAUGUAGAUAAAAAAAUCUGCAGGAAUAACGUUUCAAUUAUGACAGAAGCUCAAAACAAAUGACUGUGAAUGAAAAGCCCUAUUAAAAGCUUUCCAGAAGAUCCUGCGAAGAAGACAUGAAGUAUAGAUCAGAUUUGUUAAUAGAGGAGUAUGUUCAAAACACUUUUUAGAAAAAGAUAUUGACAGAACUUCACUUUCAUCUGUUCGUUUGAGAGACUGUGCUGUUCCAAUAGCUUAUGUCACACAGAAUCAGCUGAGAGAAGUGGUCUACAAAAAACCAGAAAGGAAACGGAAUAUGUGGCUACGAAAAGCAAAAGAAAGGUUUACAAAGCAAAUGUGACACAUUUUUUUAUAAUAUUUAGGAAUGUCAGCAAAUUACAUUAAAAAAUGUAUGUAAAGAUUUUUUGCAAUAAAAAUGUUUAUAUUUA